rnacentral:rRNA from 1 species
GAUGAACGCUGGCGGCGUGCCUAAUACAUGCAAGUCGAGCGAACAGACGAGGAGCUUGCUCCUCUGACGUUAGCGGCGGACGGGUGAGUAACACGUGGAUAACCUACCUAUAAGACUGGGAUAACUUCGGGAAACCGGAGCUAAUACCGUAUAAUAUAUUGAACCGCAUGGUUCAAUAGUGAAAUACGGUUUUGCUGUCACUUAUAGAUGGAUCCGCGCCGCAUUAGCUAGUUGGUAAGGUAACGGCUUACCAAGGCAACGAUGCGUAGCCGACCUGAGAGGGUGAUCGGCCACACUGGAACGGAGACACGGUCAAGACUCCUACGGGAGGCAGCAGUAGGGAAUCUUCCGCAAUGGGCGAAAGCAUGACGGAGCAACGCCGCGUGAGUGAUGAAGGUCUUCGGAUCGUAAAACUCUGUUAUUAGGGAAGAACAAAUGUGUAAGUAACUAUGCACGUCUUGACGGUAACUAAUCAGAAAGCAACGGCUAACUACGUG